AGUGAACGCUGGCGGUAGGCCUAACACAUGCAAGUCGAACGGCAGCACAGUAAGAGCUUGCUCUUACGGGUGGCGAGUGGCGGACGGGUGAGGAAUACAUCGGAAUCUACUUUUUCGUGGGGGAUAACGUAGGGAAACUUACGCUAAUACCGCAUACGACCUACGGGUGAAAGCAGGGGAUCUUCGGACCUUGCGCGAUUGAAUGAGCCGAUGUCGGAUUAGCUAGUUGGCGGGGUAAAGGCCCACCAAGGCGACGAUCCGUAGCUGGUCUGAGAGGAUGAUCAGCCACACUGGAACUGAGACACGGUCCAGACUCCCACGGGAGGCAGCAGUGGGGAAUAUUGGACAAUGGGCGCAAGCCUGAUCCAGCCAUACCGCGUGGGUGAAGAAGGCCUUCGGGUUGUAAAGCCCUUUUGUUGGGAAAGAAAAGCAGCAGGUUAAUACCCCGCUGUUCUGACGGUACCCAAAGAAUAAGCACCGGCUAACUCCGUG
rnacentral:rRNA from 1 species